rnacentral:tRNA from 1 species
GUUUUAAUAGUUUAAUCAAAACCUUGGUCUUGUAAACCAACAAUGAAAUCUAAGUUUUCUUAAAACU